rnacentral:tRNA from 1 species
UCCUGGUUAGCUCAGUUAAUAGAGUGCUCCGCUGGAAAUGGAGAGGUCCCUGGUUUGGUACCAGGGCCAGGCA